rnacentral:rRNA from 1 species
GAUGAACGCUGACAGAAUGCUUAACACAUGCAAGUCGAUUCAAUUUACCUUCGGGUAAUGAGGAUGGCGGACGGGUGAGUAACGCGUAAGGAGCUUGCCUCUUGGUCUGGGACAACUGUUGGAAACGACAGCUAAUACCGGAUAUUAUGAGAUUCUCGCAUGGGAAACUUAUGAAAGCUAUAUGCGCCAAGAGAGAGCCUUGCGUUCCAUUAGCUAGUUGGUGGGGUAACGGCCCACCAAGGCGACGAUGGAUAGCCGGCCUGAGAGGGUGAACGGCCACAAGGGGACUGAGACAUGGCCCUUACUCCUACGGGAGGCAGCAGUGGGGAAUAUUGGACAAUGGACCAAAAGUCUGAUCCAGCAAUUCUGUGUGCACGAUGAAGGUCUUCGGAUUGUAAAGUGCUUUCAGUUGGGAAGAAGCAAGUGACGGUACCAACAGAAGAAGCGACGGCUAAAUACGUGCCAGCAGCCGCAGUAA